GUGGGGAAUUUUGGACAAUGGGCGCAAGCCUGAUCCAGCCAUUCCGCGUGCAGGAUGAAGGCCCUCGGGUUGUAAACUGCUUUUGUACGGAACGAAAAGGUUCUCUCUAAUACAGGGGGCUGAUGACGGUACCGUAAGAAUAAGCACCGGCUAACUACGUGCCAGCAGCCGCGGUAAUACGUAGGGUGCAAGCGUUAAUCGGAAUUACUGGGCGUAAAGCGUGCGCAGGCGGUUUUGUAAGACAGGCGUGAAAUCCCCGGGCUCAACCUGGGAAUUGCGCUUGUGACUGCAAGGCUGGAGUGCGGCAGAGGGGGAUGGAAUUCCGCGUGUAGCAGUGAAAUGCGUAGAUAUGCGGAGGAACACCGAUGGCGAAGGCAAUCCCCUGGGCCUGCACUGACGCUCAUGCACGAGAGCGUGGGGAGCAAACAGGAUUAGAUACCCGAGUAGUCC
rnacentral:rRNA from 1 species